AGCGGCGCACGGGUGAGUAACGCGUGGGUAAUCUGCCCGCGGGUCUGGGAUAACUCCGGGAAACUGGGGCUAAUACCAGAUAAGACCACGUCGUCCCCGGACGACGCGGAAAAAGAUGGCCUCUGCUUGCAAGCUAUCUCCUGCGGAUGAGCCCCGCGUCCCAUUAGCUAGUUGGCGGGGUAAUGGCCCACCAAGGCAGAGAUGGGUAGCUGGUCUGAGAGGACGACCAGCCACACUGGAACUGAGACACGGUCCAGACUCCUACGGGAGGCAGCAGUCGGGAAUUUUGGGCAAUGGGCGAAAGCCUGACCCAGCGACGCCGCGUGAGGGAUGAAGGCCUUCGGGUCGUAAACCUCUGUCGGAAGGGGCGAAAGGUUCUCGAGCGAACAGGUCGAGGGCUUGACGGUACCUUCAAAGGAAGCGCCGGCUAACUCCGUGCCAGCAGCCGCGGUAA
rnacentral:rRNA from 1 species